UGGGGAAUAUUGGACAAUGGGCGCAAGCCUGAUCCAGCCAUGCCGCGUGAGUGAUGAAGGCCCUAGGGUUGUAAAGCUCUUUCACCGGAGAAGAUAAUGACGGUAACCGGAGAAGAAGCCCCGGCUAACUUCGUGCCAGCAGCCGCGGUAAUACGAAGGGGGCUAGCGUUGUUCGGAUUUACUGGGCGUAAAGCGCACGUAGGCGGACUUUUAAGUCAGGGGUGAAAUCCCGGGGCUCAACCCCGGAACUGCCUUUGAUACUGGAAGUCUUGAGUAUGGUAGAGGUGAGUGGAAUUCCGAGUGUAGAGGUGAAAUUCGUAGAUAUUCGGAGGAACACCAGUGGCGAAGGCGGCUCACUGGACCAUUACUGACGCUGAGGUGCGAAAGCGUAGGGAGCAAACAGG
rnacentral:rRNA from 1 species